rnacentral:rRNA from 1 species
UACGUAGGUGGCAAGCGUUGUCCGGAUUUACUGGGCGUAAAGGGUGCGUAGGCGGAUUUUUAAGUGGGAUGUGAAAUACCCGGGCUCAACUUGGGUGCUGCAUUCCAAACUGGAAAUCUAGAGUGCAGGAGAGGAGAAUGGAAUUCCUAGUGUAGCGGUGAAAUGCGUAGAGAUUAGGAAGAACACCAGUGGCGAAGGCGAUUCUCUGGACUGUAACUGACGCUGAGGCAUGAAAGCGUGGGGAGCAAAC